CAGUAGCCGCGGUAAUACGUAGGGGGCAAGCGUUAUCCGGAAUUACUGGGUGUAAAGGGAGCGUAGACGGUUAAACAAGUCUGAAGUGAAAUGCCGGGGCUCAACCCCGGAGCUGCUUUGGGAACUGUAGAACUGGAGUGUCGGAGGGGUAAGCGGAAUUCCCAGUGUAGCGGUGAAAUGCGUAGAUAUUGGGAGGAACACCGGCGGCGAAGGCGGCUUACUGGACGACAACUGACGUUGAGGCUCGAAGGCGUGGGUAGCAGACAGGAUUAGAUACCCCGGUAGUCCCUGUCUCUUAUAC
rnacentral:rRNA from 1 species